rnacentral:rRNA from 1 species
GACGAACCGUGCGAACGUUAUUCGGAAUCACUGGGCUUAAAGCGCGUGUAGGCGGAUGAGCACGUCUGUCGCUGAAAUCCCCCGGCUCAACCGGGGAACGGGCGCGGAUACGGCUCGUCUCGAGGGGCGUAGGGGGACCUGGAACUUCCGGUGGAGCGGUGAAAUGCGUUGAGAUCGGAAGGAACGCCCGUGGCGAAAGCGGUUCUCUGGGCAUGAUCUGACGCUGAGGAGCGAAAGUGUGGGGAGCGAACAGG